UCUUGUUUGGAAGUGCCAGAUGUCAGAAUCAUUCUAUAAGUGCUUAUUGCUUCUAGCCUUAAUUAUUAAUUUUAAAGAGUUGUACAAAUAAAAGUUUUAUAUCGUCCUCGUUUAUUACUGGUCGCGGGUUCCGUGAACGUGAUUAAUUAUACUGGUGGAUGUGAAUAAUUCUACUCAUUUGGUAAUUGACACUGUCGCCAUAUUUUUACUGAUGGAGGAUUUUAAGGUGUAGAAAUCAUCCUGAUAGAUAAAAAGAAAUUCAAACAUUUACAAUAGACAUAACUUGGUGUUGCGGCUUCAGCGACUUGUUAAAGGUCUACUGCACUAUAUUGUACUGUAGGUAUUCUACAUUCUACAGUACAGUGAAGUGGUUGUCACAUUUGUUUGCUGCUAAAUUAUAUAUUGUAAUAUAUAUUGUAAUAUUAAUAUUUAUUAAAAGCUUGUACUAUAAAUUGAAUAAAUAACC